AGGAGGGGGACAACAAUUGGAAACGAUUGCUAAUACCCCAUAUGCUGAGGAGUAAAACGGUAACAACCGCCUAGGGAUGGGCUUGCGUCUGAUUAGCUUGUUGGUGGGGUAAAUGCUUACCAAGGCAACUAUCAGUAGUUGGUCUGAGAGGAUGACCAGCCACACUGGGACUGAGACACGGCCCAG
rnacentral:rRNA from 1 species